GCUGGGCAUGGUGGUGCAUGUCUGUGGUCCCAGCUACCCGGGGGGCUGAGGUGGGAGGAUCGCUUGAGCCCAGAAGGUUGCGGCUGCAGUGAGCCAUGAUCAUGCCACUGCACCCCAGCCUGGGCAACAGAGUGAGACCCUAUCUCAA
rnacentral:SRP_RNA from 1 species